rnacentral:sRNA from 1 species
AGAUGUGAGGGUGAUCUGGCUGUGACAUCUGUCACCCCACUGAUUGCCAGGGUUGAUUCAGUUGAUCUGACUGGCUAGGUGGGUGUCCCCUUCUCCCUCAAGGCUCCAUGUGUGUCGCUCCCAAAGUUGAGCACUUGGUUAAAGAGGAUGACCACCUCCCAUAGAGGAGGGCAAUUCCUCGGUCAAGGAUAUAUGAAUAGCUACACUCCCCUGCUAGAAUCUCCAAACAAGCUCUCAAAGCCCAAAAGAUGAGCUCCAUCGAUUCCAUCCCUUUGGUGGAAAU